rfam:Triticum aestivum genome assembly, contig: Triticum_aestivum_CS42_TGACv1_scaffold_460368_5DS
GAUAUACUCCCUCCGUCCGGAAAUACUUGUCGGAGAAAUGGAUGUAUCUAGAUGUAUUUUAGUUCUAGAUACAUCGAUAUUUAUGCAUUUCUACGACAAGUAUUUCCGGACGGAGGGAGUAGUUC